rnacentral:tRNA from 1 species
GAGGGUAUAGCUCAGUGGUAGAGUGUCUGCUUGGCACGUGAGAGGUGCUGGGUUCAAUCUCCAGUACCUCCA